GUUGGUAGCAUCCUGAAUCAGCACGCUGGGCUUCUCUGAUGAAAAGGAUGGAGUCCUGCUCCCCGUUCCGCACACUCACACGGCUGUUGUCCAGGGCAGAGCCAUUGAGUCUACCCCAGACCCACAGGGUAUCUUGACAUGGAGUUGUAUUCCUUAAGCUAGAGACCCUUCCGUCUCCACAGCUUGUCUUUUCAGUGGUUUUUGCUUGGUCCAUCAUAACAUUGUUGUCAAAGUGAAUUGUCUCCCAGUUGGGUGCAGGCCUUGAGAGAAGGCUUUCUGCUCUGCGGAGUGUCAACACCCUGUCCUCCCAUGGAGGCAGUGCUGAAGUCAUCCCAGGGGAGCCAGCGUCUGGGUCCUUUCUCCUCACGUCCACCCUGCUGCCAGCACUGUGUGCUGUUCUUCCGUCACUUCAUACAAGCAAACUCAGGAGGUUGGGGCCGUUCCUUACUUGCCUCUGCUCUCCAGACAUGCUCCAGGUUGCUGUUUCCUCUUUUCUCAAGGGCUUUUAUCUUAAGUAGACUGUGAUACCGCCUCAGUUCCCACGACAACCCAAGACUUCCUGCCAAAAUUUAUUCCUAGAGUUGAAGAAAUUCCAGCCCUGGUACAUUCCCGUGGCAUGAGUGUUUGACAAGGCGUUCCAGGUUUGCUGAUAGUCCACAUUUCCCUGAGAGUACAUUCCUGUGCAUUCAUCCCGACAUAAGUAUGUUUGCUUAUAGACUGAACAGCUUAAAUGCAUACAUUGUGUAAAGCAACCCUUCAAAUGGAGAGAGUUAAGAGGAAAGAGACAGAGGUCCGACUGUGUUCUUUGUAUGCCUCCAUUUGUAGACUACC